CUUGGACCCGGCCCUGUUCGCAGGCGACGGGUGGCUAUCCCCGCCGCCGAUCCGCUGGGAAACC
rfam:Brevundimonas sp. KM4 contig_5, whole genome shotgun sequence.